rnacentral:rRNA from 1 species
AAUCAAACUUGGAGAUAGCUGGUUCUCCCCGAAAUAUAUUUAGGUAUAGCCUCGCGUUUAUACCACCGGAGGUAGAGCACUGAAUGGGCUAGGGGGGCGCGAGCCUUACCAAACCUAACCAAACUCCGAAUACCGAUGAGUAAUAUCUGGCAGACACACUACGGGUGCUAAGGUCCGUAGUGGAAAGGGAAACAGCCCUGACCGCCAGCUAAGGUCCCUAAGUUAUCACUAAGUGGGAAACGAUGUGGGAAUGCUUAGACAACCAGGAGGUUGGCUUAGAAGCAGCCAUCCUU